rnacentral:rRNA from 1 species
GACGUAGGGCGCGAGCGUUGUCCGGAUUUAUUGGGCGUAAAGAGCUCGUAGGCGGCUUGUUGCGUCGACCGUGAAAACCCGGGGCUCAACUUCGGGCUUGCGGUCGAUACGGGCGGGCUAGAGUUCGGUAGGGGAGACUGGAAUUCCUGGUGUAGCGGUGAAAUGCGCAGAUAUCAGGAGGAACACCUGUGGCGAAGGCGGCCCCCUGGUUGGAUACUGACGCUGAUACGCGAAAGCGUGGGGAGCAAACAGG